rnacentral:rRNA from 1 species
GACGAACGCUGGCGGCGUGCUUAACACAUGCAAGUCGAACGGAAAGGCCCCUUUGGGGGUACUCGAGUGGCGAACGGGUGAGUAACACGUGAGUAACCUGCCCUUGACUUCGGGAUAACUUCAGGAAACUGGGGCUAAUACCGGAUAGGAAUCCUUGCUGCAUGGUGGGGGUUGGAAAGCUUCGGCGGUUUUUGAUGGACUCGCGGCUUAUCAGCUUGUUGGUGGGGUAGUGGCUUACCAAGGCGUUGUCGGGUAGCCGGCCUGAGAGGGCGACCGGCCACAUUGGGACUGAGAGACGGCCCAGACUCCGACGGGAGGGAGCAGUGGGGAAUAUUGCAGGAUGGGCGGAAGCCUGAUGCAGCAACGCCGCGUGCGGGAUGACGGCCUUCGGGUUGUAAACCGCUUUCAGCAGGGGCGAAGCUUGUGGUGACGGUACCUGCAGAAGAAGCACCGGCUAACUACGUG